UUUGGUGCUUUUUAUUUUCCUUCACUUCUCUCUCUAGCCACCUUCCCUAAGCAUAAAAACUACAUUGAUGAAAUGAAACUAGAGACAACAUUUGGGCUAUAAAUAAUUAAAACUCAUUGAGUGUCGGAUAUGGACAUAGAUUGUAAAUAAUGAGUAAUACAUGGCCAAAAAUUAAUCCUACAUGGGAUUCGCUCGAUUUUUUUUUGGGCUGCAGUUGUAGUAAGUACAUGAAUUUGUGUCUACACUAUUUGAUUUGCAAGAAAUUAGUUUAGAUUAUUUUAAAUGUUUUCUGAGACUUUGGCAUGCAUACCAGGAAAUAUACCAAGUAAAAUUGGGAACUUAACAAUGCUGGAGGAGAUAUACCUGAGCUACAACAAAUUCACCGAAAUUCCAAACGAGAUCGGAUUUUUAGAUCAGGUGGAGCAUUUGUUCGUUCAGGUGAACGCCCUAAAAGGGCAUGUUCCUGCCAGUGUCUUCAACAUGUCCUCUUUGACUAUUUAGACUCUAUAUGAAAACAGUUUGAGUGGUGGUCUUCCAGAUAAUAUAUGCCAGCAUCUUCCUAAUCUUCAGGAAGCUAAUUUUGGCCGCAACCAGUUUGAUGGUCCACUUCCAUCCAAAUUAUGGCAUUGCAAACAUCUUCUUUCAUUAGCAUUGUCUAGAAACAAUUUCAGUGGAAGCAUACCCAAAUAUAUUGGCAACUUAACCCAAUUAACAACGAUUUAUCUGGAAGACAACAAUUUGACAGGUAAUUGAUAUUUCAUUAUGUUGUUCCAACUAUAUCUUUUUGUUUGGCAUCAUUUAUCAUUAUUUAACUAUUUUGUACAAGGUCAACAGAUAAAAAAGAGAACGAAAACCCCUUCAGCCCUGUUCACUUCUCUUGGGCUACAAAUUGUAUAGAAUAAAAUAGAUUGAAUUGCAUAAUAAACGUUAACAUUGUAUAGAA